GUUUUAACUACCAAACUCUUAUUAAUUCGCUUUUACGUUGCCUUUGAUAGCUCCGUCGUUUACUCUGCGCUUUAAUGUGUCUUGCCAUAUUGCUUCAGGCUCCACAGCAGACCUAACGUCAGCAUGUCGGUCCUCUCUUCCAUCUGAGCGCAGCUGCUAGCAGCACUGCUGCCUGAGGACAAUGGCCAGCCACCCAGCGAAGCAGCAGUAACGUGGAGUGACAGCCAAUGGAGAGCAGAGAGGCACAGACAUCAGAUGGUAAAGGAGGUGACAUCUGUGAGAGAUGUCAGAGGGACUCCAGGAGCGACUCCAGAGGGAGACAUGAUUCGGCUUGGACGCAUUCCACCAUCAGGUUUUUGGCAUACACUGAGGAACCACUCUCCCACCUUCAUUAUUCCUGCAUGAAUCAGAUUGAGGAACAGCUGCUCGGGUGACUCAACUGGA